UUGAUAAUUCCCUUAUUUUUAUUUAAGAAAACAGUGAACAACAUUAAUAAUAAAAAACUUAUUAUAUAUUUUGAUGGACCAACAUAUUUUUAAAGAUUUUAAAAAUAAUUAUGGUGAUAAUAUGUGGCUACAAAAAAUGUUAUAAUACUUUUCUUUUAAUAUAUAUGGGAUGUGAUGUAAAAGAAGAUGUCAAAAAGUAACAUGAUUUUGUGAUAUUAAAAAUUUCUUUCUCUUGAUAUUUUAUAUGAAGAUGUCAAAAAUUUUAUAUGAAAAAGACAAUUAUUUGUGCAUACAGUAAUGUAAUGAUUUCUUUCUCUUGAUAUGUUUUUUUUUAAAACAGAAUAUCAAAAUUUAAUAAAUUGUAACUUUAAUAUAUUUAGCAACAACUUUGAAUUUUAACAAAUAUAUUUAAAAAUAUUUUUAAGAUCUUGUUAUAAUAGAAAAUAAACCAUGUGUUUAUUUUUGAAAUAUUAUUUUUUUAAAAUACAUUAUGAGUAAAAUCAUUAACCACAGAUUUGACAUUAUUAUUUUAAAAGAAUUCUAAGAAAUCAAAUAGUAACGUCAUGUUUCGUAAAUAACACUUUAGGUAAACAUUAAUUAUAUAUGAUGAUUAUUUUGAUAAGAUAGAUAUUUUUUAAUUGGUUAGUAAAUUAUAGUUUCAACUGACAUAUUAUUUGUUGAACUUUUAUUUGUUCAAAAGAAAAUAAAUUACAGGUUAUUUGCUUAAAAUAAAAAAACUGACAAUUUAUCAUUUUGGCACUAAAAUUAACUUCCUACAAGAAAGGACUGCUUCCUGGUAGAUGACAAUCGGCCACCUGGGAGAUUUAAGGUCAAAAGCUGACGUAUUUUUUCUUCUUCGAAUUCCCCCGCUAUUAUGCAUAAGAUAUACCAAUAUUUGAAUAUAUUUACACAAAAUAACGAUAAAAGUAUGAAUGGUAAACCUUUAUGACUUACCUGUUUUACGAGCACAUCCACAUGGCCUACAAUCUUCAACUAAGUAGGAAAUCUAAAGAAUAGUAAUACUCUAAUAAAUAUAGUUAUUUAAUUAAAAUUCAAUGUAUAUAAAAAUCUGAACUACUUAGAGCACCCUUAUUGGUGCAGUAUGUUAAGUGAGCUUCUUAAUUAAAAAAAAAAUAUUUUAAUAAAGUUUAGUUAUUAAGUUAAUUUUAAUGUUUUGAAAAAUUUGACACAUGAUACUUUAAAUUCAGAAGAGUAUUUUAAAAGCACUCUUUUAAAAAAAUUUUACUGUCUUUUUCCUAAUUUCUACAUUUUUUCUUUUUUUAUUACUUAGAUACUCAUACUCAUUGAGUAUCAAUUAAUUGAGGUGCUCUUAGAAUAAAUGCAGUGAAAAUACAAAGAUGAGUUCUUAAAAAAUAAAUCUAAAUAAUACAAUAAAAAGAACAAAGGAAGAUAGAGGAAAAAAAAGAGAGUUGAGAAACAGAAAUUUGGGAGAACUCUUCCACUACAUGAUAUUUUAUUGGACUGAUUUUCUUUAAAUUUAAGUUACAUUUAUUAAAUAAAUUAUACCAUUAUAAUAUACUGAGGAUACUAUAUUGAGAAACCACACUGAUGAUGAUGUUCUUACAUAUAAUGAUAUAAACACAGUAUCUAUAUGGUAUUUCAAAGUUUCUCCCUUGAAAAAUUACUGCAUUUCUCUAUCUUACCUAGUAAGUAUCUAGCUAAGUCAAAACCAAUGUGUAUGAGUAAGACAUUCCUUUUCCCUUUUUUUUGUUGUCUUCUGGUUACCAAUGUGUUCGAAUAAGACUGAUGUCUUAGUUAGAGUCUAUGACGCGUUUGUUUACGUCAUCAUCCUAAACAGAUUCAAUCAAGACUAUUACCAAACUCAAAAUUUUACGUCUAUAUGAACCAAAUAGGAAGAUUGACUCCGGACACUACGUAUAAGACUAUCUGAUUUUUUCUAUUUUGAGUAUGAAACACCUGUGCAAUCACAAUUUUUUUUAUGUUUUGUAUUUCUUCAAGGUUUGUUCUAAUUGUUUUUGGAUUAUUUAUUUUGAAAAAAACGUAUAUUAAUUUGUAAUCAAUGACGUCUCAAGCUUUACAUAGACUUUGUUAAAAAUAAAAUACACAAUUAGUUUAAUAAUUUUAUAAAUUAAUAAAUUUAAAAUAAGUUUUUAGAAAAAUUAAAUUGUUGCAUUGUAUAAUUGAAGAUUUCUAUUUAAACGAUAACAUUCUUCUAGCUAAAGUUACUCGAUACUAUAUUUCAAAUGACAAACUAAAACUGAGAACUUAUUUUUUUCGCUUUAUGAGAAUAAUACGUGUUUGCCUGAUUUUCUAGUUGGUGAAGAAAAUGUUUUAGUAUAUAUUUAUAAUAAAAUCAGUUAAUAACAAAUCCGAACAUUUAAUCAAGUUAAAUUGUAACUUUAAAACUAGAGUCUAGCCCGCAUAGUAACAUGUUUUAGUUCUAUUUAUAUUAAUUAAAUUAAACUAAAUUAAAUAAAUAUUAAAAAUGUUAUUUGAUUUUUGUGCUGGAAUUUCAAGAUAAAAUGUUAUUUCACAUGAAAAUGUUCUAUAAAUUUAUGAAAAUUUAUUUUAUUAAAAUAGAAGUACUUUUAUAAACACCCCCUUAAAACUAUAAUUUAUAAACCAACCCUAACUAACUAAUCCUAACUUUAAUCACUAACUGUAUUUUCUCAAUUUAAUACAUAACUAGGUAACUUUCCUCUCCUCAUGCGCGGAUAAAUAUUUAUAGUGUAAAAUACAUAAUAAUUGUUUAGUAUUUUACUUUUAUUUUUAUAAUUUAAACUGAUUUAUAAUACAUAUCUAAGGAAAAUAAGUAAAUUUAUUUUGAAAUUUUAAUGUUAUUAUCUUAAUUAAACACAUGACUAUGAUAUACAAAAUUUGAGUGGUUUAAUUAUUAUAUAUUUGAUUAAUUUUGUUAAUUUUGUAUAGUUGAUUUUUUUACAUAUAUAAAUAUUUCUAUAAAUUUAUGUAUAAUUCAAUAGAUGUAGUUUUGGAAAACAAAUAGUAAAAAUGAAAAACGAAUUUUGUAGUUUGAUUUUUUUAUUUAUAAAUUUAAGUCAUUUUGUAGUUUACAUGUAAAAGAUUAUAUAUAAAAUUAUUCUAAACAUGUUUCAAAAAAUAUUAUUCUAAACAAUAAUGUAUUGUUGACUUAAUUAAACUUAUGGUUUUGACUAUUAGAGUUUAGAUCAGUUUGAUGAUCUAUAACCAGGUUUUUAUGAUGAUUUUAUAUAUUAAUUAUAUUUAUGAUUUUGAUAGUCUGAUGAUUUAUUUAAUUUAUGUUUAAAUCGUGAUAAGAUUUUGUAUGAUUACACUAAUUGGAGUACAGAGUGACAUUAACUAACAUAAGAAAUAAUUUUGAAGUCUCAUGCAUGAAUAUGAAUAUUUAUAAAAUGAUUGAAUCAUAAUUAGUUAAUAUUUUGCUUUUAUUUUUUAUAAAUUAGAAGCCGUUUUGCAAUUUAUUUUUAUGAAAAUAAAAUAUAAGAUUAUUAUGUUAUUUAAGAUAUUUGUCAAAGGGGACCUCUUAAUAUAUAUAUAUAUAUAUAUAUAUAUAUAUAUAUAUAUAUAUAUAUAUAUAUAUAUAUAUAUAUAUAUAUAUAUAUAUAUAUAUAUAUAUAUAUAUAUAUAUGUAUAUAUAUAACUAUUUUGGGCGAAAUUUGCUCUUUUUCUAUCUAUAUAUAUUGUGAAAUUUACAAGAAGCCAAUUAGACAAAAAAUUGUAAGUCAUAGCAAAUCUCUUCAAGAUAAUUAAACGAUGAAAUCAUCAUAAACUCUAAUCUGCAUUGUGUUUGAAAUCAAUGUGUAGGUGGCGCAAUGUCCGGACUUAAAUGACGCCUAAAGCACACUAUAAAAAUAAUAUCCUUUAACUAUUAUUUUUUACAUUUUAAGUAUAUAAUCAGAAUAAUGUAAAACAUUCUUAGAGCUUAUUUUUUGAAAAUGCAUAAACAUAAAUUUAUUACGAAAAAUAAAUCUCUUUUUCUACAAUAACUUAUAUAUAUAUAGCAACUAUAAAUAGUUCAGUGUUUGAGUUUGUGUUCUAUUGAUAUUAUUAAUAAGCCAUCUAGUUUGUUCUUAGACAUAGUCGCACAUAUAUAAUUUCAAUUUUUGUAGACUAUAAAAAAACAUGAAAAAGAUGCAGAAAUAGAGAAAAAUAAAGACAAAAUUAUAUGGAAGAUGCAGUAACUCUUCUAUUGGGAAGCAACAAUUAGGAUUGGGACGGAUAGGGUAUCCAGAUAAUUUUCAGGUAUCCGGAUCCGGAUCCUUAUCCGGCGGAUCCAUAAUUUUACUAUCUUUAUCCGGAUCCGGGGUUCUCGAAUAUCCGGGUGUCGGAUCCUUCUAAAAAUUGUAAUAUCCGGCGGAUAUCCGGAUCCGGAUUUGGAUCCUUCAAAUAAAUAAAAUUAAUAUUAAUAUAUUAAAAAUAUUAAAAAAAUAAAAAAAUAAAAAAAUAUAAUGUUUUUAAUUAUAUCUAUGUAUAAUAUAACAAAAUUUACAUAUACUAUUAUAAAAAUGAAAAUAUAUUAAAUAAAGUUAGUUUUUAUAUAUAGAUAUUACUAUUUUUGAAAUAGUUAAUAAAACUUACGAAUCCGGAUAUCCGGAUUAAAAUUAAGAUAUCCGGAUCCGGCUUUGACGGAUCCAAUAUUUUACUAUCCGGAUCUGGAUUCGGCCCUUCCGAAUUUUCGGAUCGGAUCCGGAUUGAAUCUCGGAUAAAAAUUCCAGGCCUAGCAACAAUCAAUCAACAUACAUAAUUUUUAGAAGAAAAACAGAUGUAAUGAAUAAAAACUAAACAUAAAUAUUGUUAGAAUACAGUAUUCAGUAGUAUAAUAUAUGACAAAAGAUACUAAAAUUGUCAAAAGGAAGAAACAAAUAUCUUUUCCAAAAUGGAUCGGAUCUUAUUAAGAUCUUCUUUCAUAUCUCUUUUGUUUCAUUAUCAAAGAUUCAAAAUGAAAAAAUGAAACAAAUAAAUAAAUUAAAAGAGCAAGGGUUCUAACCUACAAACUAUAAGAUAGAGACACAACUGAGAAGCCAGUAUAAUAAAGCAACUUAUUAUCUUUGGCGCCCCUAACUUUUAUAUUACCUGGCGCCUAAAGCCCUUGGUUUACGAGCUUUCGCCCAAGGCCGGUCGCAAUGGAGGUUGGACCUUUUACUCAACGCACCCUGACUGUUGGUAGUUAAUAGGCGGAACCAAGAGCAACAUUAUUGCGGGGACAAAUUUUAGGUGUCUUAGCAUUUUUUAUUAUUAUUUUUAGAAUAAGAGAUAUUGUUAAGAAACAAUGUUAAAUAUGCAGAUUAUUGGUAGAAACUUUUAUGUUGUCUCUUAGUAAAGAACAUAUAAAAGAACCCUAAAUUAAGAACAACAAGAACAGAAACAACAAUGUUUGCUUAUAUAACAGAACAACAAGAACAAGAACAGGCCACACGGUUUCAACUUAAUUUUAAUUGAACAACAAGAACAACAACAGGCCACUCGUUUUAAUUGCCAACUUGCUUCAACAUUAAAUCUGCAUCAACAUACAGAUAUUACAUGAGUGAUAAUUUCGUAUGGGAAAAGAACCUGCAGACAGAAUCCAAACAAAAUCGAUCAAACUUGCAUAAUCACGAAGAAAAGUAUCAAAAUAUCAGAUGAGCAAAA